AGUUGCACAAUGCCAUGGGCUCAGGAGCACACACUCACACAGAGAGGCCAGCUGAAGCACACAGGCCCUCUCGGGCGUGCACGCUCGCUCGCGCAUCCUGGUGCUCACACCUGAACACACCGCCGCACCUCUGCUCCUCCCUCUGCUUGGCCACACCCUCACCCCAAGACCUGGCUGAAGCCUGGAGAGGUGUAGGAGGCAUGGAGCACAGCCUCCACAGGCUGCAGUAGACAGCCAAUGAUCCACAACUUUUAGACACUAGAAAAAGAACACUUCAACCACGGUGGUGAGGCCAACCCAGUGAGAAAGAGUUACAGACAGAACUUUCCUGCGCAGCCAGAUUGAGGAAACACUGGAUUCAGAACUGGAUAAGAUGGCUCAGCAGCUAUCCUGACCAGACUGCGUGGCAUACCUCCUACUGUUCUCAGAUCUGAGAGAAUCCAGGAGCCUUAAAAAUGUGGCCACAGUGCAAGAAGUCCCCAGAGCCUGGAAUGGGUGACCAUGCCACUUUCAGGGAAGCUGCUGGACCAAUCCUCUGGGUCUCCUCGUCUGCAUACGGAGAAUAAUAUCAAGGCCACAGUGUCUGCGUGGAGGGAAGGGGGAGGGCGGGUGUGAAAGGCCAGGACUGAAGCAGGUGCCACACGGAACAGCUUGUUCUGAAUAACCAUGUUUUCUGGACAUUGUUUCUCUCAGGAGGGAAGCCACUGGCUCCUCUAGCAAUGGACAGCCUGGCAAUAAAUGUCAACACGGUCACCAUCCAGGGUUCUCUGAGUCCUGUAAGUUUCUAGUGAGUCCCACAAACCUCUUCUCAUGUCUUCCUCUUUAUGACAAAUGCUGCAAUCUCGAGGAAAUAGCUAGAAGACAGUAUUUUGGUUGUACAUUUAUGGGGUACAGAGAAUCAUUAGAGCCCCACCCAGAGAAUCCAUUAGGACAGCAAACCAAGGAUCUGAACUGGCAUCACUGAACACUCAUAAAAUAGCGUUCGAGACAGACUGCUGCAUGGGACAAUUGCUGUCAAGAAGCCUAAGAGGGAUGGUUCUCCCACAGCAGGGGGCUACAGGGAAUUCUACCCUUCCCGUGUGUUUGCUAAAGACUCAUAAAUUGCUCUCAUAAUUAGAAACUAGUUACAUAUAAUUACAUAAUUGUAUAGGAUGUAUAGUCAUAUGUAAUUAAUGUUAUGAAAUAUAAUUAACCACUAAUUAUAUAUUGCCAGAGGGGAGUUACCAGGCAAGAGACUUUUUAAAAAGUUAUUGAGAUCAUAA
rnacentral:sRNA from 1 species